UUAAGCGACUAAGCGUACACGGUGGAUGCCCUGGCAGUCAGAGGCGAUGAAGGACGUGCUAAUCUGCGAUAAGCGUCGGUAAGGUGAUAUGAACCGUUAUAACCGGCGAUUUCCGAAUGGGGAAACCCAGUGUGUUUCGACACACUAUCAUUAACUGAAUCCAUAGGUUAAUGAGGCGAACCGGGGGAACUGAAACAUCUAAGUACCCCGAGGAAAAGAAAUCAACCGAGAUUCCCCCAGUAGCGGCGAGCGAACGGGGAGCAGCCCAGAGCCUGAAUCAGUGUGUGUGUUAGUGGAAGCGUCUGGAAAGGCGCGCGAUACAGGGUGACAGCCCCGUACACAAAAAUGCACAUGCUGUGAGCUCGAUGAGUAGGGCGGGACACGUGGUAUCCUGUCUGAAUAUGGGGGGACCAUCCUCCAAGGCUAAAUACUCCUGACUGACCGAUAGUGAACCAGUACCGUGAGGGAAAGGCGAAAAGAACCCCGGCGAGGGGAGUGAAAAAGAACCUGAAACCGUGUACGUACAAGCAGUGGGAGCACGCUUAGGCGUGUGACUGCGUACCUUUUGUAUAAUGGGUCAGCGACUUAUAUUCUGUAGCAAGGUUAACCGAAUAGGGGAGCCGAAGGGAAACCGAGUCUCAACUGGGCGUUAAGUUGCAGGGUAUAGACCCGAAACCCGGUGAUCUAGCCAUGGGCAGGUUGAAGGUUGGGUAACACUAACUGGAGGACCGAACCGACUAAUGUUGAAAAAUUAGCGGAUGACUUGUGGCUGGGGGUGAAAGGCCAAUCAAACCGGGAGAUAGCUGGUUCUCCCCGAAAGCUAUUUAGGUAGCGCCUCGUGAAUUCAUCUCCGGGGGUAGAGCACUGUUUCGGCAAGGGGGUCAUCCCGACUUACCAACCCGAUGCAAACUGCGAAUACCGGAGAAUGUUAUCACGGGAGACACACGGCGGGUGCUAACGUCCGUCGUGAAGAGGGAAACAACCCAGACCGCCAGCUAAGGUCCCAAAGUCAUGGUUAAGUGGGAAACGAUGUGGGAAGGCCCAGACAGCCAGGAUGUUGGCUUAGAAGCAGCCAUCAUUUAAAGAAAGCGUAAUAGCUCACUGGUCGAGUCGGCCUGCGCGGAAGAUGUAACGGGGCUAAACCAUGCACCGAAGCUGCGGCAGCGACACUAUGUGUUGUUGGGUAGGGGAGCGUUCUGUAAGCCUGUGAAGGUGUACUGUGAGGUAUGCUGGAGGUAUCAGAAGUGCGAAUGCUGACAUAAGUAACGAUAAAGCGGGUGAAAAGCCCGCUCGCCGGAAGACCAAGGGUUCCUGUCCAACGUUAAUCGGGGCAGGGUGAGUCGACCCCUAAGGCGAGGCCGAAAGGCGUAGUCGAUGGGAAACAGGUUAAUAUUCCUGUACUUGGUGUUACUGCGAAGGGGGGACGGAGAAGGCUAUGUUGGCCGGGCGACGGUUGUCCCGGUUUAAGCGUGUAGGCUGGUUUUCCAGGCAAAUCCGGAAAAUCAAGGCUGAGGCGUGAUGACGAGGCACUACGGUGCUGAAGCAACAAAUGCCCUGCUUCCAGGAAAAGCCUCUAAGCAUCAGGUAACAUCAAAUCGUACCCCAAACCGACACAGGUGGUCAGGUAGAGAAUACCAAGGCGCUUGAGAGAACUCGGGUGAAGGAACUAGGCAAAAUGGUGCCGUAACUUCGGGAGAAGGCACGCUGAUAUGUAGGUGAAGUCCCUUGCGGAUGGAGCUGAAAUCAGUCGAAGAUACCAGCUGGCUGCAACUGUUUAUUAAAAACACAGCACUGUGCAAACACGAAAGUGGACGUAUACGGUGUGACGCCUGCCCGGUGCCGGAAGGUUAAUUGAUGGGGUCAGCGCAAGCGAAGCUCUUGAUCGAAGCCCCGGUAAACGGCGGCCGUAACUAUAACGGUCCUAAGGUAGCGAAAUUCCUUGUCGGGUAAGUUCCGACCUGCACGAAUGGCGUAAUGAUGGCCAGGCUGUCUCCACCCGAGACUCAGUGAAAUUGAACUCGCUGUGAAGAUGCAGUGUACCCGCGGCAAGACGGAAAGACCCCGUGAACCUUUACUAUAGCUUGACACUGAACAUUGAGCCUUGAUGUGUAGGAUAGGUGGGAGGCUUUGAAGUGUGGACGCCAGUCUGCAUGGAGCCGACCUUGAAAUACCACCCUUUAAUGUUUGAUGUUCUAACGUGGACCCGUGAUCCGGGUUGCGGACAGUGUCUGGUGGGUAGUUUGACUGGGGCGGUCUCCUCCUAAAGAGUAACGGAGGAGCACGAAGGUUGGCUAAUCCUGGUCGGACAUCAGGAGGUUAGUGCAAUGGCAUAAGCCAGCUUGACUGCGAGCGUGACGGCGCGAGCAGGUGCGAAAGCAGGUCAUAGUGAUCCGGUGGUUCUGAAUGGAAGGGCCAUCGCUCAACGGAUAAAAGGUACUCCGGGGAUAACAGGCUGAUACCGCCCAAGAGUUCAUAUCGACGGCGGUGUUUGGCACCUCGAUGUCGGCUCAUCACAUCCUGGGGCUGAAGUAGGUCCCAAGGGUAUGGCUGUUCGCCAUUUAAAGUGGUACGCGAGCUGGGUUUAGAACGUCGUGAGACAGUUCGGUCCCUAUCUGCCGUGGGCGCUGGAGAACUGAGGGGGGCUGCUCCUAGUACGAGAGGACCGGAGUGGACGCAUCACUGGUGUUCGGGUUGUCAUGCCAAUGGCACUGCCCGGUAGCUAAAUGCGGAAGAGAUAAGUGCUGAAAGCAUCUAAGCACGAAACUUGCCCCGAGAUGAGUUCUCCCUGACCCUUUAAGGGUCCUGAAGGAACGUUGAAGACGACGACGUUGAUAGGCCGGGUGUGUAAGCGCAGCGAUGCGUUGAGCUAACCGGUACUAAUGAACCGUGAGGCUUAACCUU
rnacentral:rRNA from 1 species